AGAGUUGAUCCUGGCUAGGACGAACGCUGGCGGCACGCUUAACACAUGCAAGUCGAACGGAGUUGUAUUAGCUUGCUAAUAUAACUUAGUGGCGGACGGGUGAGUAACACGUGAGCAACCUGCCUUCGAGAGUGGAAUAAUGUCUGGAAACGGACACUAAUACCGCAUGACAUAACCGGACCGCAUGAUCUGGUUAUCAAAGAUUUAUCGCUCGAAGAUGGGCUCGCGUCCGAUUAGCUGGUUGGUGAGGUAACGGCUCACCAAGGCGACGAUCGGUAGCCGUACUGAGAGGUAGAACGGCCACAUUGGGACUGAGACACGGCCCAGACUCCUACGGGAGGCAGCAGUGGGGAAUAUUGCACAAUGGAAGGAAACUCUGAUGACAGCGAUGCCGCGUGAGGGAAGAAGGCUAUUUUUGUUGUAAACCUCUGUUAUCAGGGACGAUAAUGACGGUACCUGAGGAGGAAGCUCCGGCUAACUACGUGCCAGCCGCCGC
rnacentral:rRNA from 1 species